UUUUAUGGAGAGUUUGAUCCUGGCUCAGGAUGAACGCUGGCGGCGUGCCUAAUACAUGCAAGUCGAGCGAACGGACGAGAAGCUUGCUUCUCUGAUGUUAGCGGCGGACGGGUGAGUAACACGUGGAUAACCUACCUAUAAGACUGGGAUAACUUCGGGAAACCGGAGCUAAUACCGGAUAAUAUUUUGAACCGCAUGGUUCAAAAGUGAAAGACGGUCUUGCUGUCACUUAUAGAUGGAUCCGCGCUGCAUUAGCUAGUUGGUAAGGUAACGGCUUACCAAGGCAACGAUGCAUAGCCGACCUGAGAGGGUGAUCGGCCACACUGGAACUGAGACACGGUCCAGACUCCUACGGGAGGCAGCAGUAGGGAAUCUUCCGCAAUGGGCGAAAGCCUGACGGAGCAACGCCGCGUGAGUGAUGAAGGUCUUCGGAUCGUAAAACUCUGUUAUUAGGGAAGAACAUAUGUGUAAGUAACUGUGCACAUCUUGACGGUACCUAAUCAGAAAGCCACGGCUAACUACGUGCCAGCAGCCGCGGUAAUACGUAGGUGGCAAGCGUUAUCCGGAAUUAUUGGGCGUAAAGCGCGCGUAGGCGGUUUUUUAAGUCUGAUGUGAAAGCCCACGGCUCAACCGUGGAGGGUCAUUGGAAACUGGAAAACUUGAGUGCAGAAGAGGAAAGUGGAAUUCCAUGUGUAGCGGUGAAAUGCGCAGAGAUAUGGAGGAACACCAGUGGCGAAGGCGACUUUCUGGUCUGUAACUGACGCUGAUGUGCGAAAGCGUGGGGAUCAAACAGGAUUAGAUACCCUGGUAGUCCACGCCGUAAACGAUGAGUGCUAAGUGUUAGGGGGUUUCCGCCCCUUAGUGCUGCAGCUAACGCAUUAAGCACUCCGCCUGGGGAGUACGACCGCAAGGUUGAAACUCAAAGGAAUUGACGGGGACCCGCACAAGCGGUGGAG
rnacentral:rRNA from 2 species